UUCAGUUGCCUUGUAAAAUAA
rnacentral:piRNA from 1 species